AGCUCCAGACCUCAAAGAAAGUGAAGCUGUCAGGCAAGAAGAGGGAGACUCCCCUAGCCGGCUGCGAUGGUAUCUGAAGCGCAAAGAAGUUAAAUACUUGACCAAGUUCACACCAAGAUCUGAACCCAGGUAGUCUUACUUCAGAGCCUACGUUCUUAUCCGUGCCCAUUGCCAGCCUCGUGCUCAUUCAUUUGUACCGGGAAGCUCAUGCUUUAUCCCUAGAACUCCUCCAAUGGCAGUUUUGUACAGAUUGGAGGAAGUGGUGAACUCAGAUAGCAGAGUCAGGCACAAGAAGGAGGAUAUUAUUUGGUGCCCAUUCAGUUGUUGUGCCUGUUAACGGCUUAGUUUAAAAAGAUGGCAGAGAGAAGAGUUCCUGAGAAGACCAGAUAGGACAUUUGCAUCUCAAAGAUGGGGAAACAAGUUUGAAGCAGGGUGUCCUGACUACAAAUGCAGUGUUGUUUCCAAGAUGCCGCAAUGGUGGCUGCCUCUUGGCUCAGUGCCAGCUCACUCCGGGAGUGAAGAUGAGUUCCUGGGCUCCACGUCACCCAACACGAUGCCACACAUCAUGCAUGCUCUGUGAAUAGCUCUUGGUGAAAAUGGAAAUUAAACCAGAAUGUGAACAUGCUGAAUGAAUCGGACUCCCCAGAGAUUUGGAGGAGAAGAAAACCUCCCACUCGCCUUUGACUUUUGGAUUUCUUGUUUCCCUCAUGUUUGGAUUGCACUUUAAGAAGUCCAUCUGGAAGUUCACUUUUUAUAUUUUGCAAAUGCAAGUAGAGCUUAUUAUCAAAAGACAAACCCCUAAAGGAAGAAAAAC